rnacentral:piRNA from 1 species
UCGUCCAUCUCAUUCGGGUUU